GGAGGAGUGGCCGAGUGGUUGAAGGCGGCGGUCUUGAAAACCGUUGAUGUGAGAGCAUCCGUGGGUUCGAAUCCUACCUCCUCCGCCA
rnacentral:tRNA from 1 species